rnacentral:lncRNA from 1 species
CGGCGGAUUUGUCGGCGUGCCCGGGGAACGUGAACUCGGGGCGUGACAUUUUUUCUUUUCUAUUUGUAAUUAAUCGGGCCGAAUAGGCUGGGUGGGAUGGGUUAAGUAGAGUAAUCUUUUAUUUUUUGUUGGAUUGGGCUUUAUAUUUAGGCCUUAAUAGAUUUUUUAAAAAAGUUUUUGCAUAAAUGGGACACUUAUACAAAAGUGUUCCAAACAUGUGUCCCUAUAACCUAAUUCUGUUGUAGUGCGAAGCAUGCGGCAUAGUGCUUCAUGUGUCAGCAGGUGAAGG